rnacentral:rRNA from 1 species
UCCAGACUCCUACGGGAGGCAGCAGUGGGGGAUAUUGCACAAUGGGGGAAACCCUGAUGCAGCGACGCCGCGUGAGUGAAGAAGUAUUUCGGUAUGUAAAGCUCUAUCAGCAGGGAAGAAAAAAGACGGUACCUGACUAAGAAGCCCCAGCUAACUACGUGCCAGCAGCCGCGGUAAUACGUAGGGGGCAAGCGUUAUCCGGAUUUACUGGGUGUAAAGGGAGCGUAGACGGCAAUACAAGUCGGAAGUGAAAUACCCGGGCUUAACCUGGGAACUGCUUUGGAAACUGUAUGGCUGGAGUGCUGGAGAGGUAAGCGGAAUUCCUAGUGCAGCGGUGAAAUGCGUAGAUAUUAGGAGGAACACCAGUGGCGAAGGCGGCUUACUGGACAGUAACUGACGUUGAGGCUCGAAAGCGUGGGGAGCAAACAGGAUUAGAUACCCCAGUAC